rnacentral:rRNA from 1 species
AGUGAACGCUGGCGGUAGGCCUAACACAUGCAAGUCGAACGGCAGCACAGGAGAGCUUGCUCUCUGGGUGGCGAGUGGCGGACGGGUGAGGAAUACAUCGGAAUCUACUUUUUCGUGGGGGAUAACGUAGGGAAACUUACGCUAAUACCGCAUACGACCUACGGGUGAAAGCAGGGGACCUUCGGGCCUUGCGCGAUUGAAUGAGCCGAUGUCGGAUUAGCGAGUUGGCGGGGUAAAGGCCCACCAAGGCGACGAUCCGUAGCUGGUCUGAGAGGAUGAUCAGCCACACUGGAACUGAGACACGGUCCAGACUCCUACGGGAGGCAGCAGUGGGGAAUAUUGGACAAUGGGCGCAAGCCUGAUCCAGCCAUACCGCGUGGGUGAAGAAGGCCUUCGGGUUGUAAAGCCCUUUUGUUGGGAAAGAAAUCCAGCCGGCUAAUACCUGGUUGGGAUGACGGUACCCAAAGAAUAAGCACCGGCUAACUUCGUGCCAGCAGCCGCAGUAA